ensembl:snoRNA small nucleolar RNA SNORA81
CCUUCCCUUUUUAAAGCACCCUGCUGAAACUGCGGCAGCCAGGCCUCUGGUUUAGCUCCUGUGGCCAUGUAAGCAUGGGUAUAUCAGGGAAGAAGAUUAAAAGCACAGUAUCUGAAAUGAGGCUUGGGGGAACCUCUUUCUUAAUGUUCAAUGUCCAUUGUCUCAAGGUUCUGUGUUACAUAU